GAUCCUGGCUCAGGAUGAACGCUAGCGGCAGGCCUAACACAUGCAAGUCGAGGGGCAUCACGAGGUAGCAAUACUUUGGUGGCGACCGGCGCACGGGUGCGUAACGCGUAUGUAACCUACCUAUAACAGGGGCAUAACACUGAGAAAUUGGUACUAAUUCCCCACUAAUAUUCGGAGAGGCAUCUCUCCGGGUUGAAAACUACCGGUGGUUAUAGAUGGACAUGCGUUGUAUUAGCUAGUUGGUG
rnacentral:rRNA from 1 species